AAUAAUGUAAAAGAAAUAGUCCCGC
rnacentral:piRNA from 1 species